AUCCAGACUCCUACGGGAGGCAGCAGUGGGGAAUAUUGCACAAUGGGGGAAACCCUGAUGCAGCGACGCCGCGUGAGCGAUGAAGUAUUUCGGUAUGUAAAGCUCUAUCAGCAGGGAAGAAGAUGACGGUACCUGACUAAGAAGCCCCGGCUAACUACGUGCCAGCAGCCGCGGUAAUACGUAGGGGGCAAGCGUUAUCCGGAUUUACUGGGUGUAAAGGGAGCGUAGACGGCGAUGCAAGCCAGAUGUGAAAGCCCGGGGCUCAACCCCGGGACUGCAUUUGGAACUGUGUGGCUGGAGUGUCGGAGAGGCAGGCGGAAUUCCUAGUGUAGCGGUGAAAUGCGUAGAUAUUAGGAGGAACACCAGUGGCGAAGGCGGCCUGCUGGACGAUGACUGACGUUGAGGCUCGAAAGCGUGGGGAGCAAACAGGAUUAGAUACCCGGGUAAA
rnacentral:rRNA from 1 species